GACGAACGCUGGCGGCGCGCUUAACACAUGCAAGUCGAGCGAGAACCGGGGCUUCGGCCCCGGGGGCAGCGGCGAACGGGUGAGUAACACGUGGGUAAUCUGCCCUCGGCACCGGGAUAGCCCGGGGAAACCCGAUUAAUACCGGAUUGCCCCUCCGGCCUUCGGGCCGGCGGGAAAAGGUAGCUUCGGCCUCUGGCCGAGGAUGAGCCCGCGGCGGAUUAGCUUGUUGGUGAGGUAAUGGCUCACCAAGGCGACGANCCGUAGCUGGUCUGAGAGGACGAUCAGCCACACUGGGACUGAGACACGGCCCAGACUCCUACGGGAGGCAGCAGUCGGGGAAUCUUGCGCAAUGGGCGAAAGCCUGACGCAGCGACGCCGCGUGCGGGAAGAAGGCCUUCGGUUGUAACCGU
rnacentral:rRNA from 1 species